rnacentral:rRNA from 1 species
UACGGAGGAUGCAAGCGUUAUCCGGAAUGAUUGGACGUAAAGCGUCCGCAGGUGGCUAUGUAAGUCUGCUGUUAAAGAGUCUAGCUCAACUAGAUAAGAGCAGUGGAAACUACAAGGCUAGAGUACGUUCGGGGCAGAGGGAAUUCCUGGUGUAGCGGUGAAAUGCGUAGAGAUCAGGAAGAACACCAGUGGCGAAGGCGCUCUGCUAGGCCGUAACUGACACUGAGGGACGAAAGCUAGGGGAGCGAAUGGG